UGCAGAUGCGAUUUGCCUCUUCAUUCGCAUCUUCAAGACGUUUAAGCGCAUAACAGUCAUUUAUCAGACAUAAUCCAAGAAAUACAAAAUGAAAAUUUUUACGAUAUUCUUGCUAUUUUUAAUUGCAUUUAGCGCUCUGUUUGGUGCUACAGAGGCAGGCUGGCUCAAAAAACAACUAAAGAAAGUGGAGAAAGGUGUAAGGAGAGUUAGAGACGGAGCUCGAGAAAAUUUAGACGUUGUUGCUGGAUAUACUGGAGUGGCUGCCAAGCUGGUUUAUUAGCUGGAAGAUAAUAUAAAUAGUGAUUUAUGAUUAUUUGUUAUUUAUUCAGUAUUACAAUUCUGUUCAUUGCUUCACAUUAAAGCACAAUUGGUCAGAUAAAUUUGAUCUAUUAAUAUAUUCACCUUUAUAUACACAGAAUGGGCCACUUUUUUCACCAGGACUUAACUAAAUUAAUUUUAAAGGUUGAAAGUUGAUAUAAAAAAUCAAUUAUUAUUUUGUUGCAUACAAAUCGCUCAAUCUUUUCGUAUUCAUAAUAACUACUGGUUCUUCCAAAAUGGUUUGUGAUCUGGUGCAUUUAACUUGUAUAUUGAUUUCCUCUUUGAAAUGUUCAGCGUGUCUCGAUUUCAUUAAUUUUCUAGAAAAUCUGUAAUAUAUGAAAUUACAAAUUUGCACUGAAAUAAAGUUGAUAUUUGCUAAA
rnacentral:lncRNA from 1 species